ensembl:lncRNA
GCUGCGGGCGGCCGAGGGAGAGGGGACUUUGCCUUGGGUUUGAGCGCCUGACCCUUAGUGUAGACACUUAGGCCUAAGACAGCGAUUAGGACCCAGACGCGUUUAGCUAAUCCUCUCCCUGCCUCCCAGCUGCAAGAGACAGUUAAUACUUCAAAAAACUCUUUUUAAAAACAUCCUCGGCAUGUAGGAUUAAGCAUUGGAAAGUAGAACUUUUGUACACCAUUACACAGAGUGCUAAUAACAAUAUUUAAAUCCACAAACUAAGUAAUUUUGUGUGAAUCUGGGAAGGAGAUGGAGUUCAGCUUUGCUGUUUACCAGCUCCACUGAAUCAUCACUAAGUGUAUUUUAGUGAUAAUGAAUUAUAAAUAAAUUGCUAAUAAGCAAGGAAAGAAGCCAAAUUAUAAUUUAGAGUGCACUUUAAAGUGAAAUGGACCUGUAAUGAGGGAACGAUUUUGCCUUCGACCUGGAGAAAGUUGUUUAAAUUUUCUGAGCUAGUAUCUUCAUCCUGAGUUUAGUCAUCCAGCAGGGAGGUGAGCUGUAAUGUAAACAAUGUAAAACUCUUAGGGCCCAGCACCUAAUAGGUCCUCUAUAGCUAAAAUUAUUUUAAAGUAUCCACAGGUAUUGUUUUUCUAUGUAAGAUUCACUCUCUUUUUGCUUUGAAAAGGCCUUUCUCAUUUAACUCUCAUCACGUUGCGAAGUUAAAAGUGAUCAUUUUUCAACAAAAAGGUAUUUUAGUUCUCUGCAGAAUAAGAACAUAGCUCUCACGGCCUGCUUCAGGUGACCCAUGCAGUGCCUGGGUUUCAGCCUUGUGGCUCAGUUGCCUUCGCAGACCGGAGCAGUGUGGAGGGGCUGAAAAGGACGAUGAGGACACCACCUGGGAGAGAUGGAGAUGCUUCUAUGGGCCACAAGUGGCUUUCAAGGAAGCCUUGAUUUCUAGAUGUGUUUUCUGCCAACUCAAUUUCCUGAAGACAAAAUUGGUCCACUAGAAGAGUCCAGAUUGUCUUUGAAAGAAUGGCAUGAGGAGAAG